GCCUAGGUGGUGGAAUUGGUAGACACGCUAGACUCAAAAUCUUGUGAGGGAAACUUCGUGUGGGUUCGAGUCCCACCCUAGGUA
rnacentral:tRNA from 1 species